UAGCCGCCGCGGUAAUACCGGCGGCCCGAGUGGCGGCCACUAUUAUUGGGCUUAAAGCGUCCGUAGCCGGGUUGGUUAGUCUCCCGGGAAAUCUGGCCGCUUAACGGUCAGAAUUCCGGGAGAUACUGCCAGCCUAGGGACCGGGAGAGGCCGAGGGUAUUCCCGGAGUAGGGGUGAAAUCCUAUAAUCCCGGGAGGACCACCUGUGGCGAAGGCGCUCGGCUGGAACGGGUCCGACGGUGAGGGACGAAGGCCAGGGGAGCAAACCGGAUUAGAUACCCGGGUAGUCCUGGCUGUAAAGGAUGCGGGCUAGGUGUCGGGUGAGCUUCGGGCUCGCCCGGUGCCGUAGGGAAGCCGUUAAGCCCGCCGCCUGGGGAGUACGGCCGCAAGGCUGAAACUUAAAGGAAUUGGCGGG
rnacentral:rRNA from 1 species